rnacentral:rRNA from 1 species
CAAUAGCGUAUAUUAAAGUUGUUGCAGUUAAAAAGCUCGUAGUUGGAUUUCGGGGCAGCCUGGCUGGUCCGCCGCAAGGCGAGUACUGGUCAGCCGCCCUUCCUCUCGAAAGCCCCGACUGCUCUUUAUUGCAGUGGUCGGGUAGUUCGGGACGUUUACUUUGAAAAAAUUAGAGUGUUCAAGGCAGGCCUACGCCUGAAUACAUUAGCAUGGAAUAAUGGAAGAGGACCUCGGUCCUACUUUGUUGGUUUCCAGGACCGAAGUAAUGAUUAAGAGGGACAGUUGGGGGCAUUCGUAUUUAAUUGUCAGAGGUGAAAUUCUCGGAUUUAUGAAAGACGAACAACUGCGAAAGCAUUUGCCAAGGAUGUUUUCAUUAA